ACAAAUCCAUCGUUGUUCACUCCCUGCAUGUUCUCUGAAUGUGCAAGGGGUGCAACAUUUGUUCCAUGUGUGCACUUGCAUGCAUCGAUACAUUUCUGCGAAUACAUCUGAUUGGUUGGGAUGAGAAUUGACAAGAA
rnacentral:misc_RNA from 1 species